UAGAACACGAUGUUCAAAAGAAAUUGAAUUUUAUUCUCUGAGCAUCUGGAAUGGUCUAGAUAAAGAGCCCUAGCAAGCAUGGCCAAUAGAAAUGAUGGGAGCUAUAGUUCAAGAACAUCUGGAGGGCCAAAGAUUCCCCACAUUUGGCCUAGAUCUAGAAAAUGUCUCAACUCUCAUGCCUUUCUACCUAAUUCUACAUAAUUCUUCUGAUUAUUUUCUUUCCCUUUCUCUCUCUCUCUGGUUAGACAGUCACCAGAGGGAUGCUCAUGAUUAGGCCUUGCAGAACCACUUGGAAAGGACAGCACUACACUGUAGAUCUGAAUAAUUUCAUUCACAGCCGUAAGGAGUCACAAGAAGUGUAUCCCAUUUAAGUUCGGCCAGUUUAUUGCCCCCUCAAUCAAAUGGUGCAAUUCCUAAAGAAGUGGGUGCAGCUCUAGCAUUGGUGACUAAACUCUAUAAACUAGUUUAGUCCUAUGAAAAGGGAGACAGAAGGCCCACCCAUACUCCACUUCAUCUGCAUUUUGCUGCCUUUACACUUCGCUGAGCUCAUCUAUUCACCCCUCUACCUCCCAUUAAGAAACAGCAGCAUGACAGAGCAGAGUUGAGAUGAACAUUGUCGCCGCACCAUACCAUCUGCUAUUUACUCCACACAUGGGGAUAAGAAUAUUGGCCUGCUGUGAGAAUUACUGAUAAAAUGAAUGUGAAGUGCUUUGAGCAUUCAGGAAGAGAGGUUCGGCUAUUACAAUUAAAAAUACUCAACAAAGGAUCAUCACAGAUAUACUGAAAGAAACAUAAGGAAAAUAAUGAGGGAGAGAAAGAGAGACUUCAUGGACCAGAAUGGUGAAUGCUGGUAAGGAAUCUUUUCUCUUGGCAGAAAUCCAAGGAUCAAAAUGUAGGCUUCAGCAGCUGUGGUGA